AAUCUAGCGACAAUGGAUGGAAUCUUAUAGGAACCUGAGCAAUGUGAACUUUGGGGAGAUUUAUGACAGUAUCAUGCGAAAGUCUGAUGAAGCCUGACAUUACAUUGGAAGCAACUUGCUGCAUCUUGAUGCAUUGGCCAAGCAGCAAGGACAAAUGUCAGGAAGUGUGCAGGGCAGUUCCAGAGUGAAUGCACUUUUCCAGGUGUACAACAGGUUCUUAAAGGGCUCCGAUAGUGGCACAUUACAAUUGGCAUACAUGGGAGCAUAAAGAUGGUGACCAAAGCCCUUUUCCGUCAUAUGAAUCAACUCAUCCAUUAUUUCACAGAUAAAGAUAGC